ACAGGCAAAAACCACGCGAGCUCCUCCACGCAGCGCAGAGCUCCCGAGGCCUCGGGGUGCCGUCCCAGCUCCCUGCCUCCACGCUGGCCCCGCUCCGCUCCCAGCACGGCAGGCAGGGGCUGCGCGUGCCUGAAUUGCAGCCGGGCCCGGGGGGAGCUCUUCGUGUCUCCUGCAGCAAGGCAGCCCCUGCCCUUCCCACGUGCUGUCCAGGUGAGCAUGCCGCUGGUUUGCCUUGCCUCCAGCUGACCUGCGCUGACAGCGUCUGCUUGGAAGGGAAUUAGAGCUCAGCAGAGCCUCCGUAUCGCUGAGCCUUCAGCCUGCUGUGCAAAUAACCCCGGUGUGUGGCUUGCUUGGCCUCAUCUGCUCGGGAUUAAUAUUAAUUCCAAAAUGAAGCUAGAUUGCCAUCCACUUUGCGACUCUCAUGGACUCCGAUGGGGCUGUCAAUCUCCACCUGAAGCAAAGCACCUCGCUGUGCCUCGUCCCGGUGCAGGCGGACCAAAGACCUGAGCUGAAUUUCCUGGCCAGGGAUGGUCACAGGAAACGUCUGUAAAAACGUCAAAGAGUGCUGAACACCUGAAGGCAGGCAGGAGGGGAGAGGAGCGGCUCGUCUGCACAGCGGUGGGCCGGGACCUGGAGAGGAACCCUCAGGAUGAAUCGUUCCAGAUGUGCAAAAUCAUUUCAGCACGAAGAAGAGGCCUGGGUGGGGACCACCCUGCCCAGGUGGGGGCCAGCCCCGCGGGUGGCAGCUGGGCAGUGCGAGGCUGCACCGUGGGCAUAAGGGGCAUCCUCAGGAGCGCGUUGCUUAAGGCCAUCCAUAUCUGGUAGGCUGUGAAUGCUCCAAGAUCCCCUCUGUCCCCCCGUGCAGUUACCAGCACAUCUGAGUUACUCGGUGACAUGUGCCGAGAAAGAAGACAACAGGCUGAAGCCAGCCCGGCCCCGGCAGAGACGCGGCUUCAUCUCCUCCCAGAAGAACACCGCAAGUUUGCAACUGGAAAUCCGAAAAUUACUGUCUUCCUCCUCAUCCUUCCUCUGAGCAAGCUCUUGGCGUUGUGCAAUUAUUUAUCCGCUGGUAAGGGGCAAAUCAAAUAUCAUUAAGGUAAGCCCGGCAGCUGAGGGCCGGAUGCUGGCUGCCGGAACUGCAGCGCAACGCGGAGCCGCAGACGGACGCGGCCCUUCCCACAGCCACACCACGACAUCCCCCAGCGCCUUCCCACCAGCACAGCAAUUACGUUGCACUUCGGCUAGCGUGAGCGCGUGCGUGACGCUGGUAUCGAUCCCAAACCGCUGCAGUGUGCAGAGUCUAUAAUGGCCUCGGAUGAGACAUCCCAGGCAGGGAAGCAGGAUCUUCAAGCAUCUGAUGGAUCAAUAGCUUUCAUAAACCAGACUGAAAAAUAGGGGAGAGUAAUAAUGGGAACAGAAGUGCUGGGCUACACUUACAGAAGAAAAACAAUUUGAGAAGGACCAAAUAGCAACAUUGAUCAUGCCACUGUUUUCCCAUUUUUAUCUUUCUUUGCAAAAGUAUUCAGCUGUCUCCAGACAAUACAAACAUUCAUUUAAGCCGAGGUGCAAUUAGAUGCUGAACGUUGUAUUGUUGCUUUUUACAUUUCAAUUGUGUUUAUGCGAUUUAGAGAUAAUCUCGUCUUCAUUGAGCAAGUCCCAUGGGCAGUCCCCCUCCCGUCCCCUGCGCUGCCAACCCCUCCCCAGCCGCUCCUGGCUCUGCGGUGUGCUGGCAAUGGGAGGCCGGGCCGGGGAGCUGCCAUCCUGGCACAAUGGUGUGGCCACUUGCACGGAGAUGACGGCACGUUGCAGCGCGUCAGGAUGCUCUCAGCACGGGGCCGGGCAGCCGGAGGGCAGCCAGAAUGGCUCUGACAGCACCAGCUUGGCAGAGGUGGCACGGCCCUGCAGCAGCUUGCUGUUCGGGAGUGACGCGCGCCGGCUGCAGUGGGCUGGAAGAACUGUGUGCAGUGCUUAGGAUGCGACACGUGCUGUUCUUGGCACCACCCGAACGGAUGAUAGCUGCUGGAAUACAUCUGACUCCGUUCUUUUGUAGAGAUCUCAUCUACAGCUGUUGAGAAGCUUUGCCAAGCAGUGUCAGGGCCGGGGCUCGCUGCUGGAGGCACCACGCGGCGCCUGGAGCCCUGCCCUAGCACACUGCCUCACAAGGAGCGCGUUAAGCAGCCUGUCAAGGGCUUCAUAAGGUUGAUUGAGACUUAGAGCAUCAGUGCCAGUUUGCUCCUUCAUCAGGGCCUACGGCAAAACUGCCAGGGAAAACACAUUGGUUAGCUGGAGGCAGCUGGCAAAAUAUCACGGGAUGCCGAAUACCUGGGCAAAGCUGGCAGCAGGAAUCACAAUGAGGAGGUGACCUCGUCGAGAGCUGGGUAAAAUCCAGCGAGUUUUAGAUUUAAAGGGAGCAAUCUGAGGGAAACCUGUCAUGAAAGCUGCCAUAAGGGUAAAAGCAAUCAAAACAAAACACAGUUCUCUGGUUCAGGAGAGAUGUAUCGCCCAUCUGAAGAAGAAUGAUGGCUUGUCACACUAACAGGCAGAUUUACUCCACCAGAGGUGUUCUGAGGCCACAGAGUGGGCAGGGAACCCACGGAGCCAUGCCUGGGAAGGGCUCCCUGGGGGUGCCAUGGCCAGUGCCCUCCAUGCCAUGGGCAGAAACACACUGUCCCCAUACGUCCCUGUCCAUUUCUCCCCCCGUUCCUGCCCCUGCUGAGAGCUGCAGUGGGCAGUGAGUUGAUGGUGGGCACAAGCAAUGCUCCCAUCUGCAGUCCUGCAGCCACUGUGCUCUGGGUUCUGCCCUGGCCCCGUGCCUGCCCUCGCUGCAGCACGGUUCUCCCAGAGAGAACUGGGACCCUCAGUACCGCUCUGUCAAAUGGGACGGUCCCAGGAGAGGCUCCGUCCUUUGAGCUCUCCCCAGACAAACUCCCGCAGCCUCUCCUUUUCCCACUCACUCCACAGAGACGAGGGAAAAAAGUGGCCAUCUGUUUGGAGUUUGCUUUGAAAAGAAAAAGAAACCAAUCUUCUGGGACAGCAUCCCCCAGAACCUGUUACUCAUCCACUGAUCCUCUGCAGCCUUGGCACAGGGAGCACCUCAGUAACGAUUUUUCAGAAAGCCAGAGUCCAGAGGAGAGCCUGGUUUACAAUUAUUCUUCAGUUACAUAGGUAAUUUUAACUGGGAUUAGCUGAUCCUGUAAAGUAAUUGAAGCCAGGAGGUCUGGGGCUGCUGCACUGUUAUUAUCACCAUAUGCCAUUGGAAAAACAAUGGGUGAUGGCUGUCUUCUAAAGUGGUUUUCAAAACCCUCUAAUUCAGCCUUUCCAGGUAUGAAGAGAGAGUGAAAUUUGACAUGCGGGGAGGGGGAGAGAGAGAGGGCUGUAGAGACAAAUGAGCAGAAGAACAAAAUAGAUCGAGGAGGACAAAAGGGAUGUUGGGAGAGGCCGCAAAGAAGGGUCUGUUUCCUACACUGAACCCCUGCACAGAAAACAGAGGCUCCUCUUUUUCCAGCCUGAUCCCCAUGCAAAGUUCACGUCUGCUUCUCCUGGGGGGACAGCAUUCAUCCUCCGUGUCUUCGGAAAACAGCACCUAGGGGGCAACCACACUGCUGUGAAGCCCUCCCUUGCUGUCUGACCCCUGGCCGUGCUGGGUCCCGCAGCCUGGGCAGCACUGCACCCCAUGAGGCAAUGCCCCGUGCACCACCAACUGCUGCACCUGGUCACACUCACCGUGCUUGUGUCCAUGGCUCAAACAUCGCCCUGCUGCUUGGAUUGCCCACAUCAUCCACCUGUGGGUGCCCCCCGGCCCCGGAGGAAAUCCCUGCAAUACCCUCUGCUCUUCCAUUGCAACAGUGGGACCGUCUCCUGAUCUCACCAGUAAGAGCCCAAGACGUAUUAAACUGAAUCAUGUCUGUUUGCUCAGUAAAAAUAAUGUCUUAGGACAGGCCAAAUGCAAUUAAAUCAGUGCUUCAGGUCUGGGGGACGUUCCCAUGUAAUGAGAUUACAAAGAUUUGCCAUCAGGUCCGGAUUUGAUGGUGAACUACAUGUCAAGGUCCCUUUAACUUCACAAUAGAGGGGGUACAAACCCAAAACACAAUCAAGAAAGUACAAUGAAAACGGCAAAAAAGACUUCUGCUGGAAUUAUAAACAGCAGCGAUUGCAGUGAUUUCACCAUAAUCAAGGCCAGGCGGGGCCCCGUCCGCUGUCGUUAUCUCCCCCACUAAUCCCCAAUGUGUUUCUGAUUUGUGCUGCUCCGUCUGCAGGCACCGCCGCAGCCCCACGCCGGGCGGGCAGGGACAGAGCAAGAGGUGCUGGAGGUCAGCCCUGGCUGGCCCGGCAAUGGCGGGGUCAGUGCAGGUGGCAGAAAGGAAAGGGAAGAGAUGGGCGCCGAGUGUGUGCUGGGGCAGUGCGUCUCCUUCACAGAGCCCACGGAGAGGAUGAUGGCAUCCUGGCCCGGAGCGCAGCGCCCAGGGGAGACCCGCUCCAUGCCCUGCAUCUCAGCGGGACGCCAGAUGGAUGCUGGCUGGUGUUUAUGUGACGUGGGGUUCUGGCUGCCUGCUGGCCGGCAGUGCCAGGUUAACAGCCCAUUUCUCAGUUCUUAAGUAAUCCAAACAGCUGUCACUCUGCUGCUGGGCUGACAUCCCACUCAGCCCUCAAUUUCAGGAGCUCCCAGACAAUGUGAGCCAGGCAGGGAGUGACCUUCCUUGGGAAGAUGGAUGUCCUCUCACACCCUGUGUCCUGGGGAGCCGUGCAAGGCGUGGCAGACAGGAGUCAUGUCCCACCUUUCUGCGGGCAGCUUUGCUGAGCACAGGCUGCUGCUGCUCGCCGAGGCACUGAGUGCCAGGCAGCACCCUGCUCACCGCCACGCCACGAUAAAUCCCAGAGAGCUGCACUUGCUCCAGAUGUGAUGAAGGGGAAGUGUGAGCGAGAGCUCCCUCCCCAGCAGUGUUCCUGCGGCUCAGUGAGCACCACCAGCCCAAGCCUGCGUGGAAGUUCUGUGAGGCUGCAGCUGAAUUCGACCUUCAGUCUGCUCGGUCCAGCUCUGUUUGCUGUCGUGCACUAGGAGAGCUGACUUGGAGAGCAGGAGCCUUGGCCUGAGCCCUUCUGGGACCAGCCCUGCUUCUCCACCUCUUGCCAUUGCAAUUGUUUUUAUCCACCCUGCAUGUUUUAUAGGCAAUCAAAGAGGCUGGUGCUUCGAUGGGGCACUGACUCACGGAGCUCAGGCACAGCAGCAUUCCUCCACACUUCUCACAGAGAAGCAAGCCAGCAAGACAGGGAAGGAAUCAGGAGCCUGCUGCAGGGCUGGGAAUGAGGACUGUCCAAUUACUCAGUUCCAGCAGCUUAGAAAAGGACGGGUCAUCACAGGCAGCCUGUGUGGGCGGGUGCUACCUGCCAGCAAAGGGGGAAAAGCAUUGUUCUCCUCACCGAGCCCAUUCACACAACUCAGAGCAGGACGCGGCCAUGCCUGCCACAAAGCGUGAGCUGCUCAGUGCUCUGCAAACACCAGAAGUGAUGCAGCUCGGCUUCUUUAAGCAGCAGCCUGAGCUCUUUCUCCUUCCCCCCUCUCUCAGUAAGGUCGGCAUUGCCCAGGAGGCUCCAACCUGCACGAGUCUCUGUUUCUGCCCCUCUUCCCUUGAUCCCAAACGGCUUUCUUUGUGGCAGAAUGAAACCCCGAUAGCCUCUGUGUGGUGCUGAUCAGAGGGGCAGGAGGGUCCCCGUGUCCAGCACAGCCCCAGGGCUGCACCCAAUCACUGGGGGCAGGAAAAUGAAUCAAAUAACCUGAAGUAAUAGAUGGACUGGGGGAAUGUGCAAUUUGUUCACAGGCAAACUGUGAGCGAUGUCAGCAGCAAAAUUCUUUGAGUAAGAUACCCAGCACGGAUUGUUCAUCCUUUCCAAUGAGUUACCAGGAAAGACAGCAUAAAGCUGAAGGUGUUCCACUGCUGGUUAUUUAUUUAAGGGUUGUUCUCCUCGGCAGGCUCAGGGCACUCAAGCAGGUGGUUUUGCUGCCUUCCUUGGGAAAACCCAAGGCAUUGCCAAUCAGCAGAAAUAGGAGAAAUCUGUGCUGGUGGUCAGCCCUGGUCUUCCUUUGCUGACUUACAUCACCUUCCUUCUUUGCUGGCCUGGUUUUGGUCCACUCCAAACAAUAUUUCUUCCUCUUCAGUGCUUACACCCUUCAGAUAUUCUUAGACAGCUAUUAUGUCCCCCAUCAGUCUUCCCUUAGUCUACCUGUAAGCAUUCACCCCUUUUAAUCUUUCCCCACCAGCCCGUCCCUCCUGCCCUCCAUCGUCUCUGCAGUUCUUCUCCAAAUUCACUCCGAUUCAUCCAUGUCCUUCUUGUUUAUGGAUCCACGAUCCCAUUUAGCGUUUGAUUUCUGCCAAAAAUAAAGUUGAGCUUGAUUGUUUUCACUGAUGACUGAAAGAGGCAUGAAUUGUUGCUUGGAAAACAGUCCUUGAGACAGCAAUACGAAAGAGAAAAAAUGAAGGCAGCUCCAUCAGGCAGACGAACACACAGAUAUUAUCACGUAGGCCAGCUUUGGCUAGAUUGAAUCUCAGAAGUGCGUGAUGACAGUAAUAGCCGCCACUAUUAGUGUGUUUAGCUUUUAAACAGAAAUGUGAGUUAUAAGUCAGGCCCCAGCAUAAAUCACAGAGCCAUGAAAAUCUUACGAAUGCAUGCCCACACAGUGCCCCAAUAUGAAAUUCCAUGUCCUUGGUGAAAGUAGCACUACUGCAACUUCCGUUGUGUAGGAAAACGCGUGUGUUCAACUCAGAUACUGCAGCUUGGCUUCGGGCACGUCGCUGAGACCUUCAGCGUGGGAAGUUAUAGUCUUUUUUUUUGGAAAGGAGCAUUUGAAUUGCCACGUGGUGGGGAAGGAAGGUGGCAAGGGCAACAUCAGGCUGCAGAACCAACCUCACCUGCAAUCGAGCAGCUGGCCCGGCCACCCUGAGACGAGCCCGGUAAUGGGACUACACGAUUUGCAUGCCCGAACGCCGACAGAGGAGCCCAGUUUGGAUAACGUAGACUCAGUGCUGAUGCCUGGCUUCAGCUUGCAAAUUGCCCUCCCAGGGCUGCGCUGUGCGGGGUGCAGGGCCCCGCAGCCCCUCGGCUCCCGCUGCCCCGGGCCGGCCGCUGUGCGGGGUUGCGGGACGGUGAGACCCUGCAGAGGCUAGGCUGUAUCUCAGGGGGAUUUCCAUUUAAAUGCUCUUUGGCAAAGUGCCCUCAAAAAGCUGCUGACGCCUCGCGGAAAGCUUUGGAAAACAUGCUAAUUAAUGAGAAACAAAGCAGCAUCUCGAUCGGAUCCGAGGGCCCCUGCGUUUCCCUCUCUCGCCGCCCGUCACCUCCAGAGACAUGUGCGUGACAAGGGCAGCUUUGUUCCUCCGGGCUCCGCUCCACGGCCGCGCGUUCCCGCAGCUGAAGGCCGCUCCUGCGGGACCCCGGGCAGAGUGGGGUACCUUGCAGCGGGUACCGAGACCUUUUGGGUGGACGUGAAGUGCCUCUGAACUUCCCCACCAAGCAGCAAAUGCAGGGCUGAAAGUAGCAAGCAGCAGCUCUCUGCUCCUCGAUGAUCGAGCAUUGAGGAGGAUUGAUUGUCCCUCGUCUGCGUGAAACCUAAAUAAUUCAUCGGGGCAGGGAUCUAAGGAGAGACACUGGGCUCGCACAGGGGCUGCCGGAAAUUUUCCUACCACGCUGGGGAACAGCAAUGAAGCGAUGAAAGAGGAAGAAUGCGAUAAAGAGAGAGAGCAUCAAAACUGAGCCCCACUGCUGGGGUUUGGAGCAUUCCCACUCGGCGAGGGGAAAGCGAGCAAACAAACGCAGCAACUCCAGCUGGCACGGAGCGGAGGGGCAGAGCGGCUGCAGCCCUGAGCUGGCAUCAGGCAGCGCAUCUCAACAGGAGCAGCAGCACCGUGCGGGUGAGCGGGGUGAGCCCGAGCCCCAGGGCCCUGCGUCGGGAGAGGCUCUGAGAAGAGGCAGCCCUACGGCCAAUCACUUCCCCAACCCUGAAUUCCUCCUUUCUCCUGGAGAGGCGAGACCAGCACGGCUCCUCGCAUUGCUUUGCAUCUGAACAAGGGCUUAAAUGUCCACACGGACUCAAUGCACACUGGAACCCUUCCAGAAAGUCAGCAAAUUUGCACUCCCUCUCCCUUUAAAUGCUUUGGCUUCCUGCAGGAAAAUGAAAUCCAUUAACAAGUUCCACCCCUGCUCCAAAUUCAAGGCUAGAACUGUCAAUGCUUUAGGAACGAGCUAAAUGGAGGGAUUUCCAUAACAAUCAACAGCUACAGCAUUAAUCUAUAGUCAUAUUAACCUGGGAUGACAAGGACACGUCUGUCUGUUCUCUCUAAUGUAAUCUACCAUUAUACUCGGACUCCAUUGAAGUCUGCUUUGUAGUAUGCAUUUGGCUGUGAUCAGCUAAUCUCUCUGGCUUUAAGCACAGCUCAGAAAAGACAGCGAGGGAGACAGACAGAGCAAAGUGAUGAAUAUGCAUGUGCGUGUGCUUAGCAUGUGUCUGCCUCUAAUGUAUGUGCAAGCAUGUGCAGCUGCACAUCGGGGCUGUGCCCGUGCUGCAUGUUGCGGGGCUGCGCUGUGCUGCGUUGUGCGUUUGCAAGGUGCCAAAGUGCACGUAAGGCAGAAACGGGCAGAAAUGGGCUUUGCAUUGUGGGGAUCGGGCUCCGUGGAUGUGCAUGUAGGUGCAAACCUGCGAUGUGCGAUGCACUCUAGCGAGCUGAGCACAGAUGAGCGUGCUUUGCUGAGGCUGCAGUCAGCCCCGUGGCUGUGAGUUUCCCAUGUAGCACAGGGGUGCUCAUUUGCUGGUGGUCUGUGGGAUGCUGCUGGGCCAGGUCCUGGGCCAGUCCCAGUGCCAUGGUGCCAGCACUGCUCAGUGGGUUGUCCUCGUGGGGACGGCAGCCCUGGCUGUCCCUUCACUUUCUCUCAUCCUGCUCUAUUAAUCCCUCUUGAAGAAGCACCUUCCCCAGGCGUGCAGCAUGCCCUGAGCCUGCUUUGGGAUUAGAGGCGAUUUCAGAGCUGCAGCGGUGCGCACCAGGAUGCCGUGCACCAGAGGAGCUUAUGGGGUCAAUUCCAUUCCCAGCACUGACUCCAGACACAUCAGAAGAUGCUGUGAUAUCAGCUCCCACCUUCUGCGAGGAGCCUGUUCCCAGGCGGGGAUUAGAGCCUCUGCUGCAGAGGGGCAGGCAGCAGACUCCAGUUCCUUUGCUUUGCUUCUGUUUUUUAAUUACCGGAGAGCAGGAAGCACAUCGCAUCCCAGGCGCUCACCCUGAGGUGGGGAGGGGAUGACAAUGCCACCCGACCUCUGCAGGUGAAAUUCCCAAUCUGCUUGAGCUGCUCUGGGUAUUGCUGUGUCGGGAACCUGGGGCUGGGAGGGCCAAGCAGAUGGGUGCGUGGAUCCAGAGGAGAUAAACACUGGGAAAUGAGCUCAUCCGCUGCCAGCAGAGGCAGAGCAACCCAGAGCUGCGCAUGCCCAGCGCCCUCGUGCCCCAGCUCCCUGCCCCCACACCUCGUGCCUUCCUCCUCUUCUGCCCCUUGUAGACACAUUUCUGCUCCUUUUGGGAACGCGUCCGAUCCAGUCCGUGGUUUUGGUGUUACUGUUUACUCACACUGUACGAGGGGGUGGAAAUCGGAAACUCUGAUUCACCACGAUCUUUGCACUGAAACUUUACACACUGGAACAAUUAAUUAUCCAUUAAAACCUUUG